UACGAAGGGGGCUAGCGUUGCUCGGAAUCACUGGGCGUAAAGGGUGCGUAGGCGGGUCUUUAAGUCAGGGGUGAAAUCCUGGAGCUCAACUCCAGAACUGCCUUUGAUACUGAAGAUCUUGAGUUCGGGAGAGGUGAGUGGAACUGCGAGUGUAGAGGUGAAAUUCGUAGAUAUUCGCAAGAACACCAGUGGCGAAGGCGGCUCACUGGCCCGGGACUGACGCUGAGGUGCGAAAGCGUGGGGAGCAAACAGG
rnacentral:rRNA from 1 species